rnacentral:rRNA from 1 species
CACUCCUGCGGGAGGCAGCAGUGGGGAAUUUUGGACAAUGGGCGAAAGCCUGAUCCAGCAAUGCCGCGUGCAGGAUGAAGGCCUUCGGGUUGUAAACUGCUUUUGUACGGAACGAAAAAGCUCCUUCUAAUACAGGGGGCCCAUGACGGUACCGUAAGAAUAAGCACCGGCUAACUACGUGCCAGCAGCCGCGGUAAUACGUAGGGUGCGAGCGUUAAUCGGAAUUACUGGGCGUAAAGCGUGCGCAGGCGGUUAUGUAAGACAGAUGUGAAAUCCCCGGGCUCAACCUGGGAACUGCAUUUGUGACUGCAUGGCUAGAGUACGGUAGAGGGGGAUGGAAUUCCGCGUGUAGCAGUGAAAUGCGUAGAUAUGCGGAGGAACACCGAUGGCGAAGGCAAUCCCCUGGACCUGUACUGACGCUCAUGCACGAAAGCGUGGGGAGCAAACAGGAUUAGAAACCCUUGUAGUCCCA